UGAGCCCGAAAAACCAUGUCCAAACCAGGAAAUGGACAGCUCCCAGUCCCUAAGAAGCGGCUCCUGAAGUACAGCAUUUCCGCAUGAACGACAACAUCCACUCUCUGGGAAAGGUGACCUCAGAUGUGGCCAAAAGGAGGAAGCUGAACUCAGGAGGCAGCCUGUUGGAGGAGUUAGGUUCUGCCCGGCGUUCAGGAGAAGUGACCUUGGCGAAAGGGGAUCCCAGGUCCCUGGAGGAGUGGGAGACAGUGGUGGGUGACGACUUCAGUCUCUACUAUGAUUUUUACUCUGUGGAUGAGCACGUGGACUCUGACAGCAAGUCGGAAGCUGAAGCUCUAACUGAACAACUAAGUGAAGAGGAGGAAGAAGAAGAAGAGGAGGAAGAGGAAGAAGAGGAGGAAGAUGAGUAGUCAGGGAAUCAGUCAGAUAGGAGUGGUUCUAGUGGCCGGCACAAGGCCAAGAAGAAAUGGCUAAAAGACAGCCCAUGGGUGAAGUCAUCUAGGAAACGGCGCAAGUGGGAGCCUCCAAGGGCCAAGGAGCCAUGAGGAGUGAAUGGUGUGGGCUCCUCAGGCCCCAAUGAGUAUAUGGAGGUCCCUCUGGGGUCCCUGGAGCUGCCCAGGGAGGGGACCCUCUCCCCCAACCACUCUGGGGUGUCCAAUGACACAUCUUUGCUGGAGACAGAGCGUGGGUUUGAGGAGUUGCCCCUGUGCAGCUGCUGCAUGAAGGCACCCAAGACUGACCACAUCAGCGAGAGGGCAGAGCACAAGUACAUGGCCAUGGAGAGUGUGGAUGGAGAGCUGUCGGGCUGCAAAGCUGCCAUCCUCAAGCGGGAGACCGUGAGGCCAUCCAGCCACGUGACCCUGAUGGUGCUCUGUGAGACCCACCAUGCCCGCAUGGUCAAACACCAAUGCUGUUCGGGCUGUGGCUACUUCUGCAUGGCAGACACCUUCCUGGUGUGCCACCCUGACUUCUGGAUGGCCCACCACUUCCACAAGGCCUGUGUGUCCCAGCUGAAUGGGAUGGUCUUCUGUCCCCACUGUGGGGAGGAUGCUUCUGAGGCUCAGGAGGUGACCAUCCCCCAUGGUGAUGGGGUGACCACACCAGCUGGCACUGCAGCUCCUGCACCCCCACCCCAUCCCAGGAUGACCCCGGGAGAGCAGGCACUUCCCAGCCCAGCGCCCGGAUGCGAGGCCAUGGGGAGCCCUGGUGCCCACCCUGCAAUCCCCUGGCCGACACCAUCGACAGCUCAGGACCGUCCCUGACACUGCCCAAUGGGGGCUGCCUUUCCACCGUGGGGCUGCCACUGGGGCCAGGCCAGGAGGCCCUGGAAAAGGCCCUGGCCAUCCAGGAGUCAGAGAGGCAGAAGAAGCUCCGUUUCCAUCUUCGGCAGUUGUACCUGCCUGUAAAGCAGGGCAAGCUGCAGAAGGUGAUCCUGAUGCUGUUGGACAACCUGGACCCCAACUUCGAGAGCGACCAGCAGAGCAAGCGUCCGCCCUUGCAUGCAGGCGCCCAGAAGGGCUCUGUGGAGAUCUGCCAUGUGCUGCUGCAGGCUGGAGCCAAGAUAAAUGCAGUGGACAAACAGCAGUGGGUGCCACUGAUGGAGGCCAUGGUGAACAACCACCUGGAGGUGGCCCGUUACAUGGUGCAGCGUGGCAGCUGCAUCUAUAGCAAGGAGGUGGAUGGUUCCACCUGCCUCCACCACGCAGCCAAAAUCGGUAACUUGGAGAUGGUCAGCCUGCUGAGCACAGGACAAGUGGAUGUCAACACCCAGGACAGUGGUGGGUGGAUGCCCAUCAUCUGGGCUGCAGAGCACAAGCACAUCGAGGUGAUCCGCAUGCUAUUGACGCAGGGCGCUGAUGUCAUCCUCACUGACAACGAAGAAAACAUCUGCCUGCACUGGGCCUCCUUCACCAGCAGCACCGCCAUCGCUGAAGUCCUUCUGAAUGCAUGCUGUGACCUCCACGCUGUCAACUACAUAUAUAUGAUAUAUGGGGACACUCCCCUGCAUAUCGAAGCUCGGGAGAGCUACCAUGACUGCAUGCUGUUAUUCCUGUCACAUGGAGCCAACCCUGAGCUGUGAAACAAGGAGGGGGACAUGGCAUGGGACCUGACUCCCGAGCACUCCAACGUGUGGUUUGUGCUUCAACUUAACCGCAAGCUCCGACUCAGGGUAGGAAAUCGGGCCAUCUGCACAGAGAAGAUCAUCUCCCGGGAUGUGGCUCGGGGCUAUGAGAACGUGCCCAUUCCCUGUGUCAACAGUGUGGAUGGGGAGCCCUGCCCCGAGGAUUGCAAGUACGUCUUGGAAGACUGUGAGAUGUCCACCAUGAACAUCGACCACAACAUCACCCAUCUGCAGCACUGCACGUGUGUGGACGACUGCUCCAGCUCCAACUGCCUGUGUGGCCGAGUCAGCAUCUAGUGCUAGUAUGACAAGGAUGGGCGAUUGCUCCAGGAAUUUAACAAGAUUGAGCCCCCCACUGAUUUUUUAGUGUAACCAGGCAUGCUUCUGCUGGAGAAACUUCAAGAACCGGGUCAUACAGAGCGGCAUCAAGGUUCGGCUACAGCUCUACCAAACAGCCAAGAUGGGCUGGGGGGUCCAUGCCCUGCAGACCAUCCCACAGGGAACCUUCAUCUGCAAGUGUCAGGGAGCUGAUGCUGAGGCUGAUGUGAGAGAGGAUGAUUCUUACCUCUUCAACUAAGACAACAAGGAUGGAGAGGUGUACUGCAUUGAUCCCCUUUACUAUGGCAACAUCAGCCAAUUCAUCAACCACCUGUGUGACCCCAACAUCAUUCCCAUCUGGGUCUUCAUGCUGCACCAAGACCUGUGAUUUCCAUGCAUUGCCUUCUUCAGUUCCCGAGACAUCCGGACUGGGGAGGAGCUAAGGUUUGACUAUGGCGACCGCUUCUGCGACAUCAAAAGCAAAUACUUCACCUGCCAGUGUGGCUCUGAGAAGUGCAAGCACUCAGCCAAAGCCAUUGCCCUAGAGCGGAGCCAUCUGGCCCACCUGGACCCGCACCCCGAGCUGCUGCCCGAGCUCAGCUCCCUGCCCCUGUCAACAACUGAGAACAGACCACACCCUUUCUCCCCAGCAUGGAUGGCCACAGCUCAGCCGCCUCCUCUGCCACCAGCUGCUCGCAGCCCAUGCCUGGGGGUGCUGCCAUCUUCUCUCCCCACCACCCCUUCACACAUUCCUGACCAGAGACCCCAGCCAGGCCUGGAGGUCUGAUAGCCCCUCCCUCCCAGAGUUGGUUCCUCCCUGGGGGGGCAGCUUCAGGGCCACCCCCUGUACCCCAUCCUCAGUUGAAGUUUGAUGAAUUGAAGUCAGGCCUCUAUGCCAACUGGUUCCUUUUGUUCUCAAUAAAUGUUGGGUUUGGUAA